rnacentral:misc_RNA from 1 species
UGCAUGAAUAAUUUGUUUGCUUGUAGUUCCUGUAGUUCACCACACUUUUGCAUAUAAUUAGUUGAAAACAGCAAGAAUGAUAAUUGUAUCUCAUGCUUCUUAUUAUUGAGCAUCAGUAGUUCCUGUGUGUUUAUGGUGAUUGCAUUUUUGAAUCUUCCCCAAGUUGCUUACUGCAUCGAAAAGUUGCGUGAUUGAGUUUUGUCUGAUAGGGAAAAUCAAUUGGAGUUUG